GAUGAACGCUGGCGGAGUGCCUAACACAUACAAGUCGAGCGGCAGCACGAGUAGUUUACUACUUGGUGGCGAGCGGCGGACGGCUGGGUAACGCGUGGGAACAUGCCCCAAAGUGAGGAAUAACUGCCCGAAAGGGUAGCUAAUGCCGCAUAUGAUCUUCGGAUUAAAGGAUUUAUCCGCUUUGGGAGUGGCCCGCGUAC
rnacentral:rRNA from 1 species